rnacentral:rRNA from 1 species
UACAGAGGUCUCAAGCGUUGUUCGGAUUCAUUGGGCGUAAAGGGUGCGUAGGUGGCGCGAUAAGUCGGGUGUGAAAUCUCGGAGCUUAACUCCGAAAUUGCAUUCGAUACUGCCGUGCUCGAGGACUGGAGAGGAGACUGGAAUUCAUGGUGUAGCAGUGAAAUGCGUAGAGAUCAUGAGGAAGACCAGUGGCGAAGGCGGUCUCUGGACAGUUCCUGACACUGAGGCACGAAGGCCAGGGAGCAAACGGG